UACGUAGGGUGCAAGCGUUAAUCGGAAUUACUGGGCGUAAAGCGUGCGCAGGCGGCUUGCAAGACAGAUGUGAAAUCCCCGGGCUUAACCUGGGAACUGCAUUUGUGACUGCAUGGCUAGAGUGCGGCAGAGGGGAUGGAAUUCCGCGGUGUAGCAGUGAAAUGCGUAGAUAAUGCGGAGGAACACCGAUGGCGAAGGCAAUCCCUGGGCCUG
rnacentral:rRNA from 1 species